UACGUAGGGCGCAAGCGUUAUCCGGAGUUAUUGGGCGUAAAGAGCUCGUAGGCGGCUUGUCGCGUCGGCUGUGAAAACCCGCGGCUCAACUGUGGGCGGGCAGCUGAUACGGGCAGGCUGGAGUUCGGUAGGGGAGACUGGAAUUCCUGGUGUAGCGGUGAAAUGACGCAGAUAUCAGGAGGAACACCGGUGGCGAAGGCGGGUCUCUGGGCCGAUACUGACGCUGAGGAGCGAAAGCGUGGGGAGCGAACAGG
rnacentral:rRNA from 1 species